rnacentral:miRNA from 1 species
UUUGGCACUUUUUAGAGUGAA